rnacentral:rRNA from 1 species
GAGUUUGAUCAUGGCUCAGGACGAACGCUGGCGGCGUGCUUAACACAUGCAAGUCAACGACGUUUGCGUAGCAAUAUGCAAACGGAGUGGCGCACGGGUGCGUAACGCGUAUGCAAUUUGCCCUUUGCUCGGGAAUAACACUUCCAACGAGGUGCUAAUACCCGAUGAUGCAGCGGCACCGCAUGGUGACAGUUGUUAAAGCUUCGGUGGCAAAGGAUAAGCAUGCGUCUGAUUAGCUUGUUGGCGGGGUAACGGCCCACCAAGGCUUUGAUCAGUAGCUGGUCUGAGAGGAUGAUCAGCCACACUGGGACUGAGACACGGCCCAGGCUCCUACGGGAGGCAGCAGUGAGGAUUAUUGCGCAAUGGACGAAAGUCUGACGCAGCAACGCCGCGUGCGGGAUGAAGGCCUUUCAGGUCGUAAACCGCUGUAGCAGGGAAAAAAUAUCCCGUUAGACGGGAUUGAUGGUACCCUGAAAGUAAGCCUCGGCUAACUACGUGCCAGCAGCCGCGGUAAUACGUAGGAGGCGAGCGUUGUCCGGAUUUACUGGGUGUAAAGGGUCCGCUGGCGGGUAUUUAAGUCGGUGGUGAAAUCCUUCAGCUUAACUGAAGAACUGCCUCCGAUACUGAAUAUCUUGAAUAC